ACCAGACCGGAGGCUCAGCGUCAGCGCUCAGAGGUUGCGGUCAGCCCACCGGGAGAUCUUGAACCCAUGCAGGUGGGGCGAGCUCGGCUCUCCCGGGAGGAGAGGAUCAGGCGGAGAUCCCUGGGACUAUGUUUAUACUGCGGCAGCCAAGAACAUCACAUCCAGCGCUGUCCGGUAAAAGACCAAGCCCGAUAGUAAAACGGAGGCUACUAUCGGGUGGGAUCUCUGCCAGGAAGACCUCAUCUACAUCGACACUCCUUCCGGGGGAAGCAGUGGAUUUGGCUAACGUGCCCGCGGAGUACCACGACCUGAAGGAGGUGUUCAAUCCUCAUUCAUGUCUCCACUUCCUAGUUGGAUUACCGUCUUCCGUGUUCGUGUGCUGGAUUGUGUUCGUGUUGUCGUCUUCGUGUCAGUGUUCCGGUCUGUUCCUGGUUUCAUCCAUUGACCGUCUUCACCUUCACCUUCGACUUCACCAUCCAGCUCUUCUCACGCCACCGUAGACCUUCGUUUCCAUUGCCUACAUUCUGGACUCUGUUAUCAAUAAACUUCUUCUGAUUGCCUGCA
ensembl:lncRNA